rnacentral:rRNA from 1 species
GUAGGGAAUCUUCCACAAUGGGGGCAACCCUGAUGGAGCAACACCGCGUGCUGGAUGAAGGCCUUCGGGUCGUAAACAGCUUUUGUAUACGAAGAAUAUGACGGUAAUAUACGAAUAAGGGUCGGCUAACUACGUGCCAGCAGCCGCGGUCAUACGUAGGACCCAAGCGUUAUCCGGAGUGACUGGGCGUAAAGAGUUGCGUAGGCGGCUUAUUAAGCGAGUAGUGAAAUCUGGUGGCUCAACCAUCAACACAUUGCUCGAACUGAUAGGCUUGAGAAUGGUAGAGGUAGUUGGAAUUUCUUGUGUAGGAGUGAAAUCCGUAGAUAUAAGAAGGAACACCAAUGGCGUAGGCAGACUACUGGACCAUUUCUGACGCUGAGGCACGAAAGCGUGGGGAGCGAACCGGAUUAGAUACCCUAGUAGUCC